rnacentral:rRNA from 1 species
AUUGCCCCAGUAACGGCGAGUGAAGCGGCAACAGCUCAGAUUUGAAAUCUGGCCCCUUCGGGGUCCGAGUUGUAAUCUGUAGAGGAUGCUUUUGGCGACGCGCCUUCCGAGUCCCCUGGAACGGGGCGCCAGAGAGGGUGAGAGCCCCGUACGGUUGGACGCCGAACCUCUGUAAAGCUCCUUCGACGAGUCGAGUAGUUUGGGAAUGCUGCUCAAAAUGGGAGGUAAAUUUCUUCUAAAGCUAAAUACCGGCCAGAGACCGAUAGCGCACAAGUAGAGUGAUCGAAAGAUGAAAAGCACUUUGAAAAGAGGGUCAAAUAGCACGUGAAAUUGCUGAAAGGGAAGCGCUUGUGACCAGACUUGCGCCCGGUUGAUCAUCCAGCGUUCUCGCUGGUGCACUCUGCCGGGCUCAGGCCAGCAUCGGCUCUCCCAGGGGGAUAAAGGUCGCGGGAACGUAGCUCUCUCCGGGGAGUGUUAUAGCCCGUGGCGGAAUGCCCUUAGGGGGGGCCGAGGCCCGCGUUCGCAAGGAUGCUGGCGUAAUGGUCACCAGCGACCCGUCUUGAAACACGGACCAAGGAGUCAAGCAUUAGGGCGAGUCUUUGGGUGCAAAACCCGCAGGCGCAAUGAAAGUGAACGGAGGUGAGAGCUUCGGCGCAUCAUCGACCGAUCCUGAUGUUCUCGGAUGGAUUUGAGUAAGAGCCUUACCGCUUGGACCCGAAAGAUGGUGAACUAUGCCUGAAUAGGGUGAAGCCAGAGGAAACUCUGGUGGAGGUCGCAGCGGUUCUGACGUGCAAAUCGAUCGUCAAAUUUGGCAUGGGGCGAAAGACUAAUCGAACC